rnacentral:ribozyme from 1 species
UUUUGUCUUUCUUUUCUUUCUCUUUCUCUUCUUUCUAACUCCGUCUUAACAACAGAAUUACAGGACGGAUGUCAAAUAAAAGUACGGAGGAAAUGCAAGAUGUUGAUGAAGUAAAUGGAAUGGGUUAUCCCACCUGUCUCAUUUAUAUUGAAAAUCCAGAGCCUGGGGUGGUCAACGGAAUAGAAAUAAA